UUCUGUUCUUAAUGCGUUAUUAAUUACUAGGGGAGGCUAGGGAUAGCAAGCCAGUAACUAAUAAUAGGCUCUUUUCACCGAGGGAUCGGGUUAAGGGUAGACUAAGAAAGUUUGCAUGACAAUUAGAUAACAAAGCGAAACAAAUAAGAAAAGUAAAUAUGUGAGAGUGAUUGGGUGAAAUCUGAACCCUAGCAACAAAUCCAUCUCAU
rnacentral:lncRNA from 1 species